rnacentral:rRNA from 1 species
UACAGAGGUCUCAAGCGUUGUUCGGAUUCAUUGGGCGUAAAGGGUGUGUAGGUGGCGCGCUAAGUCGGGUGUGAAAUUUCGGAGCUUAACUCCGAAACUGCAUUCGAUACUGGCGUGCUUGAGGACUGGAGAGGAGACUGGAAUUCCUGGUGUAGCGGUGGAAUGCGCAGAUAUCAGGAGGAACACCGGUGGCGAAGGCGGGUCUCUGGGCAGUAACUGACGCUGAGGAGCGAAAGCGUGGGGGAGCGAACAGG